AUUCAGCUGACGAGUCCCAAACAGGACGAAACGCGCGUCCUGGNN
rnacentral:hammerhead_ribozyme from 1 species